UUAGCUUAUAUUUACAUACUGCCAAUAUUUAAGUUUAUUAACGUCAAAUCUUCUCUUCCUUAGACCUUCGUUCUUUUAAAUCUGCUACAGCAAGAAUUUCAGCAGAAAACCGGCUAGCUAAAAAGUGUACCAGUUGUCUAGAAAAUUAUAUGGAGAACAAACAGCGAACAAAAAAGCCCAUUUAGAUGCAAACAACUUCCAAAAUGAAAAUUUCCACAACAAUGGCGGCGAUCAUAGAGGAAAUUUGGAUAGCAAAGUAAGCCACCAUAAAGGACAUCACAAGUCAGGUUUUGAAAACCAUUACCACAAAGACGAAAGUGGUAGUAAUUCUAGUUAUUUUGAUGAUGGAGAUGACCAGGGGGAUACUCAUGAGCAAAAAAAGUAUAAAGAAUCCUUUGGUGAUGCAGCUCAAAAUCAACAUGGCGGAGGAAAAUAUGAUAGUGCUGAUUAUGAGAAUGAACAAGCACGAAGAGGCUUAUAUGAUAACUCUGGAAAAUAUGAAAAAGAUUAUGGCAAUAAAAGAAAAUAUAAUAGAAAUGAUUAUUAUGAUGGAAAAGAGGAUCUAGAUAGGCGAAAUUUAGGAAACACCUAUGAAGGUGGUUCACAAUAUGCCGAAGAAAGGUAUGCGCAAAGACCACGUCCAAUUUAUCACUCGCAACCCCUUCCUUACCACCGACGACCAAACCACCACAUCACAAUUUAUGAAGAUCCAAGAUAUGUGCAUUCGGAUCCACGAUUUAGGCGAUCAGAAGAUUAUGUGGACGAUUAUGUAGAGCUUGAAGUUAGAAGAGAUGCGUUUAGACGACCAUAUAAUGAAGAUUAUUAUUUUUAGUUAGAAGAAUAUUGUCAUAAUGUACGAGUGAUUUGGUUAUUGUUUAAGUAUUUAUUUAUUGCACGUAAUUUAUUAUUUGUAUGUCAUAAAAGUAGCGCCGUAUACAAGCACUGAAAAAAAAUUUUUUUUGGAAUAUAUUUAUCUCAACAACUAAAUAA
rnacentral:misc_RNA from 1 species